GAAAGACCCCGUGAACCUUUACUAUAGCUUGACACUGAACAUUGAGCCUUGAUGUGUAGGAUAGGUGGGAGGCUUUGAAGCGUGGACGCCAGUCUGCGUGGAGCCAACCUUGAAAUACCACCCUUUAAUGUUUGAUGUUCUAACGUUGGCCCCUAAUCGGGGUUGCGGACAGUGUCUGGUGGGUAGUUUGACUGGGGCGGUCUCCUCCCAAAGCGUAACGGAGGAGCACGAAGGUUAGCUAAUCCUGGUCGGACAUCAGGAGGUUAGUGCAAUGGCAUAAGCUAGCUUGACUGCGAGCGUGACGGCGCGAGCAGGUGCGAAAGCAGGUCAUAGUGAUCCGGUGGUUCUGAAUGGAAGGGCCAUCGCUCAACGGAUAAAAGGUACUCCGGGGAUAACAGGCUGAUACCGCCCAAGAGUUCAUAUCGACGGCGGUGUUUGGCACCUCGAUGUCGGCUCAUCACAUCCUGGGGCUGAAGUAGGUCCCAAGGGUAUGGCUGUUCGCCAUUUAAAGUGGUACGCGAGCUGGGUUUAGAACGUCGUGAGACAGUUCGGUCCCUAUCUGCCGUGGGCGCUGGAGAAUUGAGGGGGGCUGCUCCUAGUACGAGAGGACCGGAGUGGACGCAUCACUGGUGUUCGGGUUGUCAUGCCAAUGGCACUGCCCGGUAGCUAAAUGCGGAAGAGAUAAGUGCUGAAAGCAUCUAAGCACGAAACUUGCCCCGAGAUGAGUUCUCCCUGAGACUUUAAGUCUCCUGAAGGAACGUU
rnacentral:rRNA from 1 species